AAUGUUUUAUUUAAAAAAAUUAUAAAAGAUUUUUUUUAUAAUCAGUAUGUAUUCAUACAUACUGAAUACUCAACAGCUCUGAAGGGACCACCAUUUCUGUUAAAAGUGGAUUUCAAUCCACACAUUCAUCUAUCACAGUAGAGGCCUAGUCUAAGUAAACUUCUUCACCUUGAACAUCCCAUAAAGCAGCACUGAGUAUUAACACAGGUUUUCAUUUUUUAUUAGAAAAGACUGCAACAGUUACUGUGACCCUUCAGUUUCUCAGCAGGACCACAUCUAUCAUCCAUCAUGGCCUGGCUCAGAGAAGCAGCAUCGCCUCUGGCUGGGAACAGACACAGCUGGAUCCAUGUUUUCUCAUCCUCACUGCCUUAUCCACACAGUGGGAGAUCUGACUGCACUGCCUGCUUCCAGCAUCCAGUCACCUUAUUGCGGUUCAUAGCGUUACCUAUACAGCCUUCUCAUCUACUCACAACCAAUGAGAGAGGAGAUCCUCACACAGACCGUCCCAUUAUCCAGAAUGGCCGGCUGAUCACUGAUAGAUGGGAACAUUCAAAGAGCAAAAAGUGAACUGAAGGUUUGAGAUUCUGUCAGCUGUGCUGAGGACAGGUGGGAGCAAUGCCUGAGUUCAGCACAUAAUUCUCUGAUGACCAGCAGAUGCUAAACGCUGGGUGGAGUUAGGCCUGUGAUCAGAGAGGAGGCUGAAGAGAUCAGCCUCAGAGGAGGCUCAAUAAUCUAAUGUCAAUUAAGGGCUUUGUAAAAA